AGUGGGUACAUAUCUAGUUCUCUUCCAAGGAAAAAUACAACAACUACUUACUUUCCCUUUCCCCUUGCUUUCAUCAACGCUAUCACCAAUCGGUCCCUAAAAAACCCAAAUUCUCGCCUCCAGGCAAAAUUAGGGUCUUAAGAUGACGGAUCGAAACAACUCCACAACCACUACUACCGCCGUCACCACCACCAAUACUUCAGCUGCUAAACCAAUAUGGAUGAAGCAAGCAGAGGAAGCGAAACUAAAAAGCGAGGCAGAAAACACCGCGGCAGCGAAAGCCGCAUUCGACGCGACAUUCAAAGUAUUAUCAGAUAAGGCCGAAAAAGCUGUCGAUUCGGAUUCCGAGGAGGAAGACGCGGAGAAGGAUUUGGCUAAUAAGCCAGUGGGACCAGUUGACCCCGGGAAGUGCACGGCGGCAGGUGCUGGCAUUGCUGGUGGGACCGCGUGUGCACCAGCUACGUUUGUGGUUGUUACUAAGGAUGCGGACGGGAGGAAAGUCCCGAAUGGAGGCGCGGUGAUUAGGGUUAGGGUUUCGCCGGGAGUGGGAGUUGGGGGAACGGAGCAGGAAGGGGUUGUGAAGGAUAUGGGAGAUGGGACUUACACGGUUACGUAUGUGGUGCCGAAAAGAGGGAAUUAUAUGGUUACUAUUGAGUGUAAUGGGAAAGCUAUUAUGGGGAGUCCUUUCCCUGUGUUCUUCAGUGCAGGCACUUCAACCGGAGGUUUGCUGGGUAUGGCUCCUACAACUACGUUUCCAAACCUUGUGAAUCAGACCAUGCCGAACAUGCCAAAUUACUCAGCCAGUGUUUCAGGGGCAUUCCCUGCAUUCCUAGGAAUGACUCCAGGCAUUGCUUCAGGUGCUUCAGGUGGUGCAAUUUUGCCUGGAGUUGGAGCAUCACUUGGGGAAGUUUGUCGAGAGUACCUCUAUGGCCGGUGUGCAAAAAUGGAUUGCAAGUUGGGCCACCCUCCACACAGUUUACUCAUGACUUUGUUAGCCCCAACAACUACAAUGGGGACUCUUAGUCAUGCGCCUAUGGCGCCUUCGGCAGCUGCAAUGGCUGCUGCUCAGGCUAUUGUUGCUGCCAAAGCUCUUCAAGCUCAUGCUGCUCAGGUGCAAGCACAAGCUCAGUCAGUCAAAGAUUCAUCUGGCUCGCCUGACAAAGCUCGGAAGGAGGAUGCACUGAAGAAAACACUCCAUGUUAGUAAUCUCAGCCCGCUUCUGACAGUGGAACAGCUGAAACAGCUGUUUAGUUUUUGUGGCACAGUUGUCGAGUGUGCCAUUGCCGAUUCAAAACACUCUGCUUACAUAGAAUACUCGAAACCGGAAGAAGCAACUGCUGCUUUGGCCUUGAACAACAUGGAUGUUGGGGGUCGGCCUUUGAACGUUGAGAUGGCUAAAUCUCUUCCUCAGAAACCUCUUUCGAAUUCUUCACUAGCUUCAUCUUCUCUACCGAUGAUGAUGCAGCAAGCUGUUGCCAUGCAACAGAUGCAAUUUCAACAGGCUUUGAUUAUGCAACAAACUAUGACUGCGCAGCAGGCAGCUAACAAAGCUGCAUCAAUGAAGUCUGCAACAGAGUUAGCAGCAGCUAGAGCUGCAGAAAUAAGUAAGAAGUUAAAAGCUGAUGGGUUGGUCAUUGGAGAAGAGGAAACAAAAGCAGAAACCAAGUCACCAUCCCCACCUCAAGCAAGGUCUAGAUCCAAGUCGAGAUCACCAAUUAAUUAUCAAAGAAGGUUGAGGUCACCUUCUUACUCACCUCCAUCUCGCCGCAAUAGAGACCGUAGAUCUAGGUCUCCCUUGAGAUUUCGCUAUCACUCAAGGUAUAACUAUGGAAGGCGAUCAUAUAGAGAUAGUAGAGAUAUUGUUGAUAGAAUGAGAAUGCAGGAUUUGGAUAGAUCACAUGGUCGUCAUUCACCUGUUUCAAGGAGAAGUAGAAGCAGGAGCGCAAGCCCUCGAACAAGAAAGUCCUACAGAGAUGAUUCAGGCUCGCCAAAACGUCGCCAAGAAAACUCAGCUCAAAGAUCAAGAAAAGCAGCAGACAGUGGUUCAAGAUCACCUAGGAGUCAUGGGGGACGUCGGUUAUCCCGAAGGAAUAUCACAGAUAGCAAACUCAGAUACAAAAGGCACUCACGCUCUAGGUCCAAAUCUGUGGAAGAGUCCAAUGACAGAGUGAAUGAAAUCCAAGAUAAAAAGUCAAAGCAACAUGGGAGGAGAUCUAGGUCAUUAUCUGUGGAGCUUAAACACCAUGGCAGGAGACCAUCCCAUAGAAGUUCGGAUGAAGAUGAAUCGAAUCACAGAAGCCGGUCCAGGUCAAAAUCUGUGGAAGUUAAACGCCAUUCCUAUGAGAAAGUGGGCAAAACUGAGGAUGGGAGGCUGAAGCAUCGUGAUAGGAGGUCCAGGUCAAAAUCUGUUGAUGAUAGGCACUGUUACAAGGAGAGAGGAAAUGAAAGCAGGGAUAAAAAAACAAAGCAUCGAGAUAGAGUGCGGUCUAGGUCAAUAUCUGCUGAGUCAAAUCAUCCCAGAAGAAGUAGGUCAUCCCCAAAAGGUAGGGAUGAGAGCAAGUCAAAGCACAGACGGCACUCCAGGCCAAUAUCUCCAGAAGGCAAGCGGCAUUCCAAUCACAGGAUAGAUGAAAAUAAAGAUGAAAAGUCUAAGCACUGCGGUAGACGAAUGUCAGUAUCAGCUGAAGGUAAACAUAUCAGAUCUCCAAGAAGUUCAGAGGAAAAUAAAUCAAAACGUAGGAGGCACUCUAGAUCAAAAUCUGCAGAACACAAGCGCCACUCAAAUGAUGAGGAGAUAAAAAGAGAAGAAAAUGAAACUCGUCAUGAGCAUACAUCGGACAAAACAGAAGAUGCCAAUGAGGAUGAAAAUUCUUUUACGGACAAAGAAAAAUGUAAAGAUUGUGAUUCAAAGGAACGGGUGGAAGACGUGGUAAUGGGGGGCAAAUGUGUGCUGAAUUUAAGCAAUGAAGAACCAUUGUUACUGAAAGCUGAGCAUCCCACAGCUGAACUGGAAUGAAUUUGAAGAGCGUUAGAGAACCAAAGUUAAUUCUUAAGGACAGCAGAGUCUAGAAGGCUCGGUAGAGAAGCUGUAUUUCAAAGGCAGCUGUGUUUGUGCCAUGCUUCAAUCUGAGAAGAUCCAAUCUGAGAAGCUUGCAGAGAUGCGUGGACUUAAAUCCUGCAGAAUCAGCCUUUGCUUGCAUGAUGGGCGAUUCUUAUAGAAGAUUUUUUAAAUGUUCUUUGGUUGUUGGAUUUUUCUGCCAGCUUUGGCUCCUCGUAAAUAUGAGCACUUUGUGUUUGUUUAUCUUUUGCAGGUUCACUUGUAACAUGUUGGAACUAGAGUCUUUAAGGCCCGAGCUGACUCAUGAUAAGGAUUAUAUGUUUCAAACGGUGUUCUGCUGUCAUCUGCAUCAACCAUUCAAUCUUUCUAGCAAGCUUCUAUUACUGCUAGAUGUUAUAUGUGAUGUUUCCGUUGGAGCUGCCGAGAUCAAUGACAGGAUUGUUGAUAUUUACUGAUGUAAAUGAAGGUAUGCAGUCAGUAGAGUGAGACACCUAUCUGUUAAGCCUUCCACGAGUCAUGGAAUUCUGGGACUGUUGUUAAUAACUCAAUUGGAUGCAUCUGUCUGAAGUUAAUACUUGUGUAACUGUAAUAAUAUGUUUUAAAACCUGGUGCCUUA